ACUCUCACAUGGUCACUGUACCGCACCACCAGCCACCAUAGCUACCACCACACCACACCACACCAUAAGCCACUGCACCGUAUCGCAUAGCUGCCACCGCACCCCACCGUGAGCCAUCACGCGCACUGCAAGCCGUAAGCCACCGUCGCACCGCACCGCAUAGCUGCCACCACGAGCCACUACGUGCAAAUCAGACAGCUGCUAUUGCCCAAAAAGUUCCUUAGCAUCUCGAGGAUACUCAACAACGGGAGACAGCUUCAGAGGAUGACGAAGAUAAUACUUCGUUGAAGCCUUGGAAACGAAAGACCCUUUCUGACCGACUUCGGUCUCGCUCGAAGGAGGUUGAGGUUCUUAAGAAAAAACUUUGUUCAGACUCUCAAAGUGGGCAAUCUGAUUCCACUACUCGAAGAUCCUCUCGAGAUAAAGGGAAAAAAAGGCAAUUUCGACUAGGUCUAUCCCCAGACCUAAAGUUCCCACUGAGAAGCUUAUGAAGGAUGCAAUGAAAUCCCCUGUCCAGAAAAAGUUUGAUUCAGAGGCGUCCGAGUCUUUGAUAGACUAUGGCCAAGGCCAAGGAAUCCAAGAGGUGAUAUCUUAAAAGAUCCAAGAGGAAUGGGAUGAUAUUAAAG